GCUGGAGUUAAUGUGUCAUGAAGAACCACACAUUAACCAGGUCUGGAGUUUUCCCAGAAAACGCUCCAAGCCGCCAAAGGUCGCUGGAAUGCAGCCUGACAGGGAAUUUAACCAUCGAUCAAACCUCACCUGGAGGCUACAGCUGAUUUCUGUUAAAAGGUUCAAGGCCAGAUCAUUUGAUGAAAAGCAAACAGCGGUUUUCCUCUGUAGUCGCUUCCUCACGGCGAGCCGGUCACAACCAGGAGAGGUUUGGAUCAUCUGGACAUCAGUGGAAGUUCUACAUCAUGACGACUCAAACGAACCCACAUGUAAAUGGACCUUUGUUGGGUCGACCUCCCUGAACUCUCUUCAGGAUUCUCCUUAUUGACUCAGACCUGAAGCCAGACGACGGCUGGGAGGAAAGAAAGGACGAGAAGUCUGUCUAAAGACUGGACGCGUGUCUAUGUGACGCCUCAGACGUGCCAGACAACAACAGCGGAUGGGCUGAGUCUAAACUCUGGAGGUGUUGUGACUGUUCUUCUACCAGGUUAGGUCAGAUGUGAGCAGACGUGGUCCUUCACAAGGUUCUGUGAGACUCCCGUCAGAGUCCUUCUGGAGGAAAUCUUCAGAAACGUCAAGGAGUUGUUUAUCUGCUUCCCUAAAAUAACAGUGUGAAGCCCCGAUAGAACGAGUGGAAACCGCUCUGCUGGAAGGUGUGGACAUCUUUGGAAUAAAGUCGGACUUCAAGGAAUUCUUGGAGUCAGGGAGGGACACCCCCGCCUGUCCCAGUAUUGUGGAAACACAGAGAAAGGCCAGAGAGCGUCAGGCGUGUGGGGACAGCGGCGGCUGACGUCACACCUGAGAGCACAGCCUGCAUGCUGGGUGGAUGUUUGCAGCUCGGCCUGCCGGGUUUGUUUGAGAGGAAACGGCAGCUCCAGGCAGCAGAAUUCCUUAUCUUCUGAGUUUGGAAAAUGAACAAACAGAAGAACUUUCACCCAUUUUGUUGACUGCUUUCCUUUUUUAUUCUUUUCUUUGCCUGUACGUCCAGAGAGCUCCGGUUUACCAUCACGGCUCAGCUGUGGCAAAACGGAUCAACACUUUCAGUAAAACGAGACGCGUUUUAUUAGAAAGUUGCUUCUUUGUUCUCAUAAGCUUUGAUCAGAAAUGUUAUCAUGUUAGUGUAACCAUUGACUGUUUAUAAGAACUGGACUGAGUGGCAUUCCAUGACCAAAAAAAAGUCCACUGAGUUGACUUCAUUUGGUUGGAGCCGUAAAAUCUAUGGAUGACACCACACUCACUCAGUCCAGUUCUCAUGUACUGUCAGUGGUUUCUCCUUAUUCCUGUUUUUUCAAUACAAUAUCACUAUAAGAUUCAAAAGAUCCUUUUCAGGCUCAAAUCUCCAUCAGGAGGUCGAAUAUGUUUUUUAUUUUUAUUUUUAUUUUUCCUGAAGAAACAUGGUUUUGGUAGAAACUGUUGCGGGUCGGUACGCGAUGUUCCCCGAGUAUCAGAGAAGUCGUCACCUGCAGUCUGUAGCAACAGAAACAACAAACUGUCCUGAUGUUUUUACUUUGUGAAACUUGUAGCUUUGCUGUUUAAUCUGAUCAAGUCGGCAAACAUUUGCAUUCAAAUUUCUCUUUCCUCCUUCAGGACAUGGUUCUGGAGGAUCCAAAACCUCAAACUCCUUCAUAUGAGGAGCUGAAAUAAACACAAAUAAGUAUGUUAGUCUCUGCUGCUGAGCAGAUGAACUCCUGAAUGCAUCAAACUUCCAUCUGUUCAACAACGACAAGAAAGAAAAUGUUGUUUUAUUGAACAACAGUGAAGGAAGUUCUGGAGAACUUUGGAUCAAAAGAUGAUCCAGAUCCAGAACUGCUUGGCUCCCCAAAACAAAACUCACAGAUUUCCUGAUCUGCUCCUGGAGGCUGGACUGCAGGAACAGCUGCAUCUCUGUCACAGCUGGUCCAGCAGCUUUAUUAGUUCAGAAAGGAAGUUAGCAACGCUACAAGUCCACAAAGCUAAAUCAGGGUCAGACAGGCAGAGGUCAACCACGAACAUCAAAGAAGAGACUAGAGAUGUCGGAGUCCAGGUGUGGGUCAGAGAUGAAACUGGCAGGGCCGGCCCUGGGCAAAGGUAACCUAGGCGGCCGCCUAGGGCACCAUCUGUUGGAGGGGGCGCCAAAUUGCAAUGAUUAGACUAUACUCUGAUGGGUUUUUUGCUAUGUUUUUUUGUUUUUGUUUUUUACAGUUUGACACAUCACUAAUUUUGUGUAAAAUAAAAACAAAAUUAAAAACAAAUAAAAUACCUCAAAAGUGGGCAAAAAAAAAUCAUGUUUCACCUAAGGUACCAUGAAGCUCAGGGCGGGCCCUGGAAACAGGGUCAGGUAGACAGAAGAUCAGGUCCAGACAGAAACGCUCAGUAAUGCAGGCAGAUUGGCACAAACAAUACUUCACACCGCAUGCAGGGGCUGUGUGCUGGGAGAGCUGGGAAAUGUGGUAUUAGUACUCUGACGAUGGCUCCCGCCGGUCACCAGAGAGGGGUACAGAACCCUGACUCCCGACAAUCUCCUUCAGCAAGCCGGUGCUGGAGUUUAAACCAGAACCAGGAGAACCCAGAACAUCCGUCCUUACAUUCUCAGGUCCUGCUGAAAGCUAUGAAUCAAUCAGGCGUCUGAGAACCUGUCAGAGGUUUUAGUGGUUCCAAAAGCGGAAGUAAGAAGCGGUCAGCUGUUAGAACCGAGUCAGAACCGAACGGACUGAGUUUGCUUUCAGCUGCUCCCUGAAGAUCUGAGAGGUUCUCUGACUGCGUUUGUGUUCAGAUUCAAACUUAAAACGUUCCUCUUUGUCUAAACCUCUAGAGUCUUCUGUUUCCUGCACACUCAUUUAUUUUUAAACAAGUUUUUAAUUUUAGAUCCUUCUGCUGCUCACUGGAACUCUUUUUGAAUUAUCUUCUCGUAUGAAAUCGUUUCAUCUUGAUUCAGAAAUAAUACAGAAUUCCCAACAACAUACAGGAUAACCAGUAGAAUACAGAGACAUCUCGAGCAGGAAUGACUUAACAGGAGUUUGCAUUUCCCGCCUGAACAGGCUGCUGGUUUCACAACUAUGAGGUCUGAAAGUGGAAAAAAAACACUCCCUGAUCAAACUGGAUCCCUGCAGCAGCCUGGUGACCUGUUCAGGGUGAGAUAGGCUCCAGCAGCCUCGUGACCUCUAAAAGGAUUUAGAAGAUAAAAAAAAACGUUUUAUUUGAAUUUAAGUAAAUAUUGAGAUCGGCAUAAUUCCCGAUGCGUCAUUUAAAGAUGCAUGUAAAGCAUUAGAAAUGUUUAGUCUUUUCGGCUCCAAAAUCAAAUCUUUUAGUGAGAAACUUGAAGUUUUGUGACCAACAUUUAUUUUUUUUAUGACAAUUUUCCCACCAAAUUUGUAGUUAAAGAUCCUGAAAAAUGUUUUUCUGAUUCAUAAUCCACAGAAAGUGUCUUUUUUUCUGAUGCUGUCACUUUUCCCUUUACAGGUGAAGGCAUUUUGUUUUUCAAUGGAGCUAAAUUGAAGCCAAUAUUAUUUGUAACCCAAAUAAAACAACUUAAAAAAAUUGAUUUUGGGCCAAGAAAAAAAAGAGUAAAAU